rnacentral:rRNA from 1 species
UACAGAGGUCUCAAGCGUUGUUCGGAUUCAUUGGGCGUAAAGGGUGCGUAGGCGGCGCGGUAAGUCGGGUGUGAAAUCUCGGGGCUUAACUCCGAAACUGCAUUCGAUACUGCCGUGCUUGAGGAGCUGGAGAGGAGACUGGAAUUUACGGUGUAGCGGUGAAAUGCGUAGAUAUCGUAAGGAAGACCAGUGGCGAAGGCGGGUCUCUGGACAGUUCCUGACGCUGAGGCACGAAGGUCAGGGGAGCAAACGGG